rnacentral:rRNA from 1 species
AUACGUAGGGUGCAGGCGUUAAUCGGAAUUACCGGGCGUAAAGCGUGCGCAGGCGGUUUUGUAAGACAGUGGUGAAAUCCCCGGGCUCAACCUGGGAACUGCCAUUGUGACUGCAGGGCUGGAGUGCGGCAGAGGGGGAUGGAAUUCCGCGUGUAGCAGUGAAAUGCGGAGAUAUGCGGAGGAAAACCGGUGGCGAAGGCAAUCCCCUGGGCCUGUACUGACGCUCAUGCACGAAAGCGUGGGGAGCAAACAGGAUUAGAUACCCUGGUAGUCCACGCCCUAAACGAUGUCAACUGGUUGUUGGGUCUUCAUUGACUCAGUAACGAAGCUAACGCGUGAAGUUGACCGCCUGGGGAGUACGGCCGCAAGGUUGAAACUCAAAUGAAUUGACGGGG